rnacentral:rRNA from 1 species
AUUGAACGCUGGCGGCAUGCCUUACACAUGCAAGUCGAACGGUAACAGGUCUUCGGCUGCUGACGAGUGGCGGACGGUGGCGUACUACAUCGGAACGUGCCCGAUCGUGGGGGUUAACGAGGCGAAAGGUUUGCUAAUACACCAUACGAUCUAAGACUGAAAGCGGGUGAACUUCGGACCUCGCGGGGCCGUGCCCGCCGAAGUGAGAGUAGGUAGUUGGUGCGGUAAAGGGUCAACAAGGCGACGAUCCGUAGCUGGUCUGAGAGGAUGUGCAGCCACACUGGAACUGAGACACGGUCCAGACUCCUACGGGAGGCAGCAGUGGGGAAUAUUGGACAAUGGGCGAAAGCCUGAUCCAGCCAUACCGCGUGGGUGAAGAAGGCCUUCGGGUGGUAAAGCCCUUUUGUUGGGAAAGAAAAGCAGCAGGUUAAUACCCCGCUGUUCUGACGGUACCCAAAGAAUAAGCACCGGCUAACUUCGUG